rnacentral:rRNA from 1 species
AUUGAACGCUGGCGGCAUGCCUUACACAUGCAAGUCGAACGGUAACAGGUCUUCGGAUGCUGACGAGUGGCGAACGGGUGAGUAAUGUAUCGGAACGUGCCCAGUCGUGGGGGAUAACGCAGCGAAAGCUGUGCUAAUACCGCAUACGAUCUAUGGAUGAACGCGGAGGACUCGCAAGGGCCUCGCGCGAUUGGAGCGGCUGAUAUCAGCUUAGGUAGUUGGUGAGGUAAAGGCUCACCAAGCCUGCGAUCUGUAGCUGGUCUGAGAGGACGACCAGCCACACUGGAACUGAGACACGGUCCAGACUCCUACGGGAGGAAGCAGUGGGGAAUUUUGGACAAGGGGCGCAAGCCUGAUCCAGAAAUGCCGCGUGCAGGAUGAAGGCCUUCGGGUUGUAAACUGCUUUUGUACGGAACGAAAAGGUUCUCUCUAAUACAGGGGGCCCAUGACGGUACCGUAAGAAUAAGCACCGGCUAACUACGUGCCAGCCGCCGCCGUAAUAC